GUCGAGCGAACCUGAUAAAAGCUUGCUUUUUGAAGAUUAGCGGCGGACGGGUGAGUAACACGUGGGCAACCUGCCUGUAAGACUGGGAUAACUUCGGGAAACCGGAGCUAAUACCGGAUAAUAUAAAGAACCUCCUGGUUCUUUAUUGAAAGAUGGUUUCGGCUAUCACUUACAGAUGGGCCCGCGGCGCAUUAGCUAGUUGGUGAGGUAACGGCUCACCAAGGCGACGAUGCGUAGCCGACCUGAGAGGGUGAUCGGCCACACUGGGACUGAGACACGGCCCAGACUCCUACGGGAGGCAGCAGUAGGGAAUCUUCCACAAUGGACGAAAGUCUGAUGGAGCAACGCCGCGUGAGCGAUGAAGGCCUUCGGGUCGUAAAGCUCUGUUGUUAGGGAAGAACAAGUACCGGAGUAACUGCCGGUACCUUGACGGUACCUAACCAGAAAGCCACGGCUAACUACGUGCCAGCAGCCGCGGUAAUACGUAGGUGGCAAGCGUUGUCCAGGAAUUAUUGGGCGUAAGCGCGCGCACGCGGUUUCUUAAGUCUGAUGUGAAAGCCCACGGCUCACCCGUGGAAGGGUCUUUGAAAACUGGGAAACUUGAGUGCAGAAUAGGAAAGUGGAAAUUC
rnacentral:rRNA from 1 species